GCUGUCAGCCGCGGAGAGGGCUUUCGACACAUGCUGGAAAAGCUUUGGCUCUGGCUUUGGCCAGGAAACGGUUCAGUCUACUUUGAGAUUCCUGGCCAGCAACGACACGACAUCCGACAGUGGCCGCGGCGCGUGCUCCAAAAAACAAAAAGGAAGGCUGGAAAAACGCCAGCAGCAAGGAGCUGUAGCUGUGGCUGUAACAGUUUCCACCAAAGUCUAGGAAAACAAGUCCGAAGGAGGCGCAUUUAAGUGGCAGCUUGCUUUUUUGGGCUAAGCAAGCGAUUCGUGCGAUUCUAUCCAUGUGCUGCGAGUAUAUCUGGCACGGACCCCUAUGAACACUAUGAACGAGAUCUGGCAAUGAUGAUAGUAGCAUGACGCGCGACGGCGAAAUUCCAGCCAUUUUCAAUCCGAAACGGGUCCGCACACCUGCCGUGGUAGUCACCGGAGACUCAUCGACAAAUGUCCCCUACAGCAACAAUAACAAUAACAACAACAACAACAGUGGGACUGGGACGGGGACGGGGCCGGGGGCCAGCAGCAGCAGCUCGGGAGGCACAGCUGUCGCAGCAGGAGGAGGAGGUGGCACUGGCACUGGCGCAGGAGCGACAGGCGGCUGCGGCUUCAGCAACGUGCUCACAUCGAGCAAUCCGCAAAUAACCCACCAAGACUCGAUCUCGUCGAGCCAGCAGGAUCCCAAUGAGGUAAUCAUCAUACCAGCGGACACCCCCACGGGGCCCCCCGGCAGCCACAAUGCACAACACCACUUCGGAGGCGACUCGAGUGACACGCAAACCGGACUCGACUCCCAGCAGCAGCAGCAGCAGCCGAAUGGCCAUGGCGAGGAGCCGGAGCUGCGCUUCAGAAAGCUGCAGGCCUGCAAGGAGUCCUGCUGCUCGGAGCUGGCCCGCAAGAUGUACUUCGGGGUGUGCGUGACCAUCCUGAUGACCGCCUCGUGGGUGGGGGCCACGCACUGCAUCAAGUACAUGUACAAGUACCGGGCGCCCUACGAUGACGUGCUCAACGAUGACCAGGACACGUCAUCGAGUCGGGCCGAGCUGAGCGCCGAGCUGGAGGAGAUAAUGGCCAUCAGCGACUCGUCGCUGCACCACGUCGAGGACGCCACCGAGAUGUUCAAUAUACCACCGCGCCAACCCGUCUAUUUCAGUGCACCGUUUUUUGCCGCCUGGUUUUUUACCAACUUUUCACUGCUCUUCUUCCCGAUCUACAUCCUGGGCCUCGUUUCCACGCGCAAGUGCGACAAGCUGAGCGAGGUCCUCGGCGAUGUGCUGAGAGGAUUCCGGGAGCGCGGCUUCACCGUGGGUCGCUUCCUGAAUCGCUGCCUCUCGUUUUGCAUUUUGUGGCUGGUCACCACCUACCUGUAUACGCUCUCCCUGAACGUGCUCUAUGCCACGGAUGCCCUGGCCCUGUUCGCCACCAAUGUGGCCUGCGUCUAUCUGCUCUCCUGGGUGAUCCUGCACGAGCAGUUCGUGGGCGUUCGCAUUGUCGCCAUCAUUCUGUGCGAUACGGGAAUCGCACUGCUCGCCUACAUGGACGGCAUCACCGAGAGUCGGACUCUGAGCGGCGUCGUUCUGGCCACACUGGCCGGCGCCGGCUAUGCCGUGUUCCGGGUUAUGUUCCGCAAGGUGAUGGGCGAUCCGCCGGUGGGCCAAAUCGCCUUCAUUUUCACCGCCCUGGGCUUCCUGAACGCCCUCCUGCUCUGGCCAGUGGUGCUGGCGCUCUACCUGACUGGCACGGAAAGCCUCACAUCGGAGAGCAUACCCUGGAACCUGCUGCUCGCAGCGAGCGUCCUGCUCUUGGUUUUCCACGUUCUGAUGCAGUUCAGCGCCGCCGUAACGUACAACAUGUUUGUGACAUUGGGUCUGAUUACCGCUGUGCCCGUUUCUGGUGCCCUCGAUGUCAUACUGUACAGUGCCAACUUUGCGGGCAUGAAGCUGGCCGGGGUCAUACUGAUUGGCAUCGGGUUCUUCCUGGUGAUGUUCCCCGAGAACUGGCCCGACUACAUAACGCGACUGCUGCGAAGCAUCAUAAUGCUGGGUCACAACGCGAGCGGUAGGCCAGCGCUUUGUAAACGAGAUGCUAUAGUCCCCGGACCGUCCACGAGAUAUGCGCAGCGGCACAUCACGCGCACGCACCACAUAAGCUAAGAGUUGGACAAGUCACUCAAUAUUGUACAGAACAAAAAGACCGCAACCAGAACAUAUAUAUAUUUUGUAAAAAGAUUUUCCAAAAAAACCAAAAGAAAAGCCAAAGAAAACCCAGUACUCAAUUGCACACCACUUGCCAGACCUUGGGAUCGCAGCAUAUUUAUGCAUCCCAUUAUAAACAUAAGCGAAAGUAUUAUGCGGUCAAUACAAACCCAUAUGUUGUUUGAGCCAAUCGC
rnacentral:misc_RNA from 1 species